CUUGUACCAAGCACACUAAAAUUAUGGUACAAAGAAUAUUUUUAUUAUCUUUAUAUAAAAAUCCAAUCAAAUAAAUUAUCUUUAGCUCCAAAUAUGAACAAGACACAAACUAAUUAAGCAUACACUUGAGGGUUCUCCAUAAGGCCCUCCAUUUCCUUGAAUCACAUCCACACUUGCUAUGAAUUGGGGCAAAAGCUUUGGUAUCAAGUUGUUGGAAUCUACAAUCAAAGCCUUGAACAUUCGAGCCGCCGCAACUGGGCAUGACAUCUCUUGUGUAAAGCUUGUGACACCCAUGAUUUUGUUUUUGAUGAGAUUGUUGUUGUUGUUGUUGUUCUUGUUGAUUGUAGAGUGAUGAAGAGGUUCCCUAUAUAUAUAGGUGAUGAAAAAGAAGACUUAUUAUUGCUUAUUGGAUUGAGUUUGUUAUCCAUAAGUUUGGCAAAAUCUUUUUCAAAAGUUGAGUAGGAAUGAUUAUUCAAACUUCUAUGGCUGCUUAAUUUGGACUUGAAUAAUGAUGAAGGCUUAACUUUCAAGAAUUAUUGGAAAAUGUUAUGAUGUUUUUAAACAUGGGCGGCUCUUAAGUUAAUGGGUUGUUGUGUAGUUUCUUGGAAGCUAUAAUUAUUUCCAUUUAUGAAUUGAGCUUUCAAGCAUGUUAAACCCCAAAUGGCUCAACUAAGGUAUUUUAAUCUUUUUAAGUUUCAUAGCUUGACAAAUUAGAACUCAUUUUUUCAUAUGAUGUGUUGAUUUGAUUGUUUUUAUAUUAGGCAUCCCACUAAUUUUGAAGAAAUUUCUAAUAAUUUAGAAUGUUGCAAAAAAAGUUCAAAAUAUCUAGUUCCACACUUAUUAAAGAAAAAUAAA